rnacentral:tRNA from 1 species
GUACCGGUAGUAUAAAAUAUUACCCUAGCUUUUCACGCAAGAAACAUGAUUUCAAUCAUCCGGUAUU